UACGUAGGGUGCUAGCGUUGUUCGGAAUCAUUGGGCGUAAAGCGCGUGUAGGCGGUCAGGCAAGUCAGAUGUGAAAUCCCUGGGCUCAACCGAGGAAGUGCAUCCGAAACUGCUUGGCUAGAAGACGGUAGAGGAAGGUGGAAUUCCUAGUGUAGAGGUGAAAUUCGUAGAUAUUAGGAGGAAUACCGGUGGCGAAGGCGGCGAUCUGGGUAGAUACUGACGCUGAGGUGCGAAAGCGUGGGGAGCAAACAGG
rnacentral:rRNA from 1 species